ACUUUUUCAUACGUGUAGUCGUGUGGGUUGCUUUUGGGUCCGGCGUUUGUUUUGGGUUUGUUGUUGUCAUCCAAAAGUG
rnacentral:antisense_RNA from 1 species